UCGGAGCUUGGACCGGGUGAAAAGAGGGUUGAGGCGGCGUAACUUAUGAGUGAAAGGAGAUUAGAUUUUUUUUAGGUUUUUUUUUCUUCUCUAUUUAGAAUAAUGUUAGUUUUAAUGUUGGCUUAAAGGGAAAUCAUGAAACGUCACCGUUUGGGCCUGAUUCAAUGGCUCUGAAACGGUGCCGUUUUAGGCCGCGACCCGAUGACCUGACCUAGACGCGGUUAGAUCCGCGUGUUCUGGCGUAGGGAGGGAUAUUUGCGCGAUCCUUUUUCUGUGUUUUUUAGAAUCGGUGGUCUUCUUUCUUUCCGAUUCAGCCCCGUAU
rnacentral:lncRNA from 1 species